AAGCGCUUGCGACCAGACUUGCUCUCGGUUGAUCAACCUGGUGUUCCUCACCGGUGCACUCUGCCGAGGUCAGGCCAGCAUCGGUUUGGGCGGUUGGAGAAAGGCCGUGGGAAUGUGACUUCCUUCGGGGAGUGUUAUAGCCCUCGGUGUCAUGCGACCAGCCUGGACUGAGGACCGCGCCCUUUAGUGGCUAGGAUGCUGGCAUAAUAGUCGUAAGCGA
rnacentral:rRNA from 1 species